rnacentral:rRNA from 1 species
CCCUUAGAUGUUCUGGGCUGCACGCGCGCUACACUGACGCACGCAACAGGUGCCUGCUCCGAGAGGACUGGGUAAUCAUUUGAGUGUGCGUCGUGAUGGGGAUAGAAUAUUGUAAUUAUUACUCUUCAACGAGGAAUUCCUAGUAAGCGCCAGUCAGCAGCUUGCGCUGAUUACGUCCCUGCCCUUUGUACACACCGCCCGUCGCUCCUACCGAUUGAUUGAUCCGGUGAAUUACAUAGAAUUUUGCGUUUUACAUGACGGAAGAUGAAGUGUUUUAAACCUUAUCAUUUAGAGGAAGGAGAAGUCGUAACA